GCCAGCAGCCAUAUCACCCUGCAACUCACAACUGGCAGCCCACUGAAGCUAGGCAGGAGUGAGCCUGGUCAAUACCUGUAUGGGAAACCUCCUGGGAAAAACUAAGGUUGCUGCUGGAA
ensembl:rRNA 5S_rRNA 5S ribosomal RNA